CAAUUCCUAUAAGUCAAGACCAAGAAUAUGUUGUCCAGGUAUUGUAAGCAACUUGAUGGAUUGUUCAAGGAUGGACUUCCAGAAUAAAGCCCCAUCAACUCUCUAUAUCAAUAACCAUACUUCACAAUGAUUAAAAGUACUAAAAAAGCAAACUCUCCACACCAGAAAAAUCACAAUCAUUGAAAUUAUGAAGAGCAUUUCAAACUCAACUCUGGUCAGAACAGGGUUGCCAUGUCUCCCCCCCCAUCAGCGGAAGACUUUCGCACGCAGACAUCUCUCUUCCGCAAAACUAUCACAAUUAAAAAUCUCCCGCAAAAAUCUACCGCAAUAUUUUAAUUUCUCCCGCAGUACCUUUUAUGUAUUUAAAGUGAUACGUGAUAAUUAAGCGCCUAUCCCUAUAAUGUUAUACACACACACACGGUAGAUUUCCGAUUGCGGUCGCUUUACGGGACAUUCGCAUAAAAUAUAUUUUUAAUUGUAAAAUUAAAAUCUUAGCAAUUUUUAUAUUUCUACCGCAAUUUUUAUAUUUCUACCGCAAUUUUUAUAUUUCCAAUUUUUAUAUUUCUACCGCAAUUUUUAUAUUUCUACCCCAAUUUUUAUAUUUCUACCGCAAUUUUUAUAUUUCUCCCGCAAUUUGAAAAUUUUGACCUGGCAACCCUGGGUCAGAAUGAUAAUUAGAGAAAUAAUAAAUUGGGUUUCAUAUUCCCCGUGAUACCAAUGAGCUUAAUUAUUAAAUUAU